rnacentral:rRNA from 1 species
GUAUAUGAGGUGAUUAAUUGGAGGGCAAAUCGAGUGCCAGCAGCCGCGGUAAUACUUGUUCCAAGAGUGUGUAUGAUGAUUGAUGCAGUUAAAAAGUCCGUAGUUUAUUAUUAAGAAGCAAUAUGAGGUGUACUGUAUAGUUGGGAAAGAGAUGAAUUGUGACGACCCUGACUGGACGAACUGAAGCGAAAGCUGCACACUUGUAUGUAUUUUUUGAACAAGGACGUAAGCUGGAGGAUCGAAGAUGAUUAGAUACCAUUGUAGUUCCAGCAGUAAACUAUGCCGACGAUGUGAUAUGAGAUGUUGUAUUACAUUAUGGAAAUUAGAGUUUUUGGCUCUGGGGAUAGUAUGAUCGCAAGAUUGAAAAUUAAAGAAAUUGACGGAAGAAUACCACAAGGAGUGGAUUGCGCGGCUUAAUUUGACUCAACGCGAGAUAACUUACCAAUAUUUUAUUGUUCGGCGAGGAUAUGAUCUGAGG